ACGAACGCUGGCGGCGUGCUUAACACAUGCAAGUCGAACGGAAAGGCCCUGCUUUUGUGGGGUGUUCGAGUGGCGAACGGGUGAGUAACACGUGAGUAACCUGCCCUUGACUUUGGGAUAACUUCAGGAAACUGGGGCUAAUACCGGAUAGGAGCUCCUGCUGCAUGGUGGGGGUUGGAAAGUUUCGGCGGUUGGGGAUGGACUCGCGGCUUAUCAGCUUGUUGGUGGGGUAGUGGCUUACCAAGGCUUUGACGGGUAGCCGGCCUGAGAAGGUGACCGGCCACAUUGGGACUGAGGUACGGCGCAGACUCCUACGGGAGGCAGCAGUGGGGAAUAUUACACAAUGGGCGGAAGCCUGAUGCAGCGACGCCGCGUGCGGGAUGACGGCCUUCGGGUUGUGAACCGCUUUCGCCUGUGACGAAGCGUGAGUGACGGUAAUGGGUAAAGAAGCACCGGCUAACUACGUG
rnacentral:rRNA from 1 species